rnacentral:rRNA from 1 species
CCUACGGGUGACUGCAGUGAGGAAUAUUGGUCAAUGGGCGGGAGCCUGAACCAGCCAAGCCGCGUGAGGGAAGAAGGUACAGCGUAUCGUAAACCUCUUUUGUCAGGGAACAAAGGCGGGGACUAGUCCCCGGAUGAGGGUACCUGAAGAAAAAGCAUUGGCUAACUCCGUGCCAGCAGCCGCGGUAAUACGGAGGAUGCGAGCGUUAUCCGGAUUUAUUGGGUUUAAAGGGUGCGCAGGCGGCCUGUUAAGUCAGCGGUAAAAGCGCGGGGCUCAACCCCGGCGAGCCGUUGAAACUGGCGGGAUUGAGUAGGAGAGAGGUACGCGGAAUGCGCGGUGUAGCGGUGAAAUGCUUAGAGAUAGCGCAGAACCCCGAUUGCGAAGGCAGCGUGCCGGCUCCACACUGACGCUGAGGCACGAAAGCGUGGGUAUCGAACAGGAUUAGAUACCCUUGUAGUC